CCUAUUAAAGGAGUGACGGGCGAUAUGUGCACAUUAAAUUGCUAUUUCUUUUUCUAUUUUAAUUUGAAAAAUACUUUUAAGUUCUUUUUCAUUGAAUUUUUGUAUUUCAAUCUAUAUUUUUCUAUCUAUGUGCCCCAUAGAUUCCCUAUUUUUUAUUCUUGUCUUGAUUUGUUUUCUAAGUUUAUUUUUGAAAAUUAAAUGUUUCUUUAAUUUUUACAACAAUGAUAUAAGAAAUAAAAAAAUAGGUCGAAUUAAUCGUGGGUUAUCGAUUAAAUUACAGGGCCCCCUAAUUAGAUUUAAUGCCGCCAUUUCAAUUAGAUUUUUUUUAUUUAAUUACUUUCUUUAUUAUUUUUAAAG
rnacentral:rRNA from 1 species